rnacentral:rRNA from 1 species
GACGAACGCUGGCGGCAUGCCUAAUACAUGCAAGUCGAGCGAACAGAUGAAGUGCUUGCACUUCUGACGUUAGCGGCGAACGGGUGAGUAACACGUAAGGAAUCUACCUAUAAGCGGGGGAUAACAUUCGGAAACGGGUGCUAAUACCGCAUAAUAUCUUCUUCCGCAUGGAAGAAGAUUGAAAGACGGCUCUGCUGUCACUUAUAGAUGACCUUGCGGUGCAUUAGUUAGUUGGUGGGGUAACGCCCUACCAAGACGAUGAUGCAUAGCCGACCUGAGAGGGUGAUCGGCCAAAUUGGGACAGAGACACGGCCCAAACUCCUACGGGAGGCAGCAGUAGGGAAUCUUCCGCAAUGGGCGAAAGCCUGACGGAGCAAUGCCGCGUGAGUGAAGAAGGCCUUCGGGUCGUAAAACUCUGUUAUAAGAGAAGAACAAAUUGUAGAGUAACUGCUACAGUCUUGACGGUAUCUUAUCAGAAAGCCACGGCUAACUACGUGCCAGCCGCCGCCGUAA